rnacentral:rRNA from 1 species
GGUUAAGCGACUAAGCGUACACGGUGGAUGCCCUGGCAGUCAGAGGCGAUGAAGGACGUGCUAAUCUGCGAUAAGCGUCGGUAAGGUGAUAUGAACCGUUAUAACCGGCGAUUUCCGAAUGGGGAAACCCAGUGUGAUUCGUCACACUAUCAUUAACUGAAUCCAUAGGUUAAUGAGGCGAACCGGGGGAACUGAAACAUCUAAGUACCCCGAGGAAAAGAAAUCAACCGAGAUUCCCCCAGUAGCGGCGAGCGAACGGGGAGCAGCCCAGAGCCUGAAUCAGUGUGUGUGUUAGUGGAAGCGUCUGGAAAGGCGCGCGAUACAGGGUGACAGCCCCGUACACAAAAAUGCACAUGCUGUGAGCUCGAUGAGUAGGGCGGGACACGUGGUAUCCUGUCUGAAUAUGGGGGGACCAUCCUCCAAGGCUAAAUACUCCUGACUGACCGAUAGUGAACCAGUACCGUGAGGGAAAGGCGAAAAGAACCCCGGCGAGGGGAGUGAAAAAGAACCUGAAACCGUGUACGUACAAGCAGUGGGAGCACGCUUAGGCGUGUGACUGCGUACCUUUUGUAUAAUGGGUCAGCGACUUAUAUUCUGUAGCAAGGUUAACCGAAUAGGGGAGCCGAAGGGAAACCGAGUCUUAACUGGGCGUUAAGUUGCAGGGUAUAGACCCGAAACCCGGUGAUCUAGCCAUGGGCAGGUUGAAGGUUGGGUAACACUAACUGGAGGACCGAACCGACUAAUGUUGAAAAAUUAGCGGAUGACUUGUGGCUGGGGGUGAAAGGCCAAUCAAACCGGGAGAUAGCUGGUUCUCCCCGAAAGCUAUUUAGGUAGCGCCUCGUGAAUUCAUCUCCGGGGGUAGAGCACUGUUUCGGCAAGGGGGUCAUCCCGACUUACCAACCCGAUGCAAACUGCGAAUACCGGAGAAUGUUAUCACGGGAGACACACGGCGGGUGCUAACGUCCGUCGUGAAGAGGGAAACAACCCAGACCGCCAGCUAAGGUCCCAAAGUCAUGGUUAAGUGGGAAACGAUGUGGGAAGGCCCAGACAGCCAGGAUGUUGGCUUAGAAGCAGCCAUCAUUUAAAGAAAGCGUAAUAGCUCACUGGUCGAGUCGGCCUGCGCGGAAGAUGUAACGGGGCUAAACCAUGCACCGAAGCUGCGGCAGCGACGCUGAUGCGUUGUUGGGUAGGGGAGCGUUCUGUAAGCCUGCGAAGGUGUGCUGUGAGGCAUGCUGGAGGUAUCAGAAGUGCGAAUGCUGACAUAAGUAACGAUAAAGCGGGUGAAAAGCCCGCUCGCCGGAAGACCAAGGGUUCCUGUCCAACGUUAAUCGGGGCAGGGUGAGUCGACCCCUAAGGCGAGGCCGAAAGGCGUAGUCGAUGGGAAACAGGUUAAUAUUCCUGUACUUGGUGUUACUGCGAAGGGGGGACGGAGAAGGCUAUGUUGGCCGGGCGACGGUUGUCCCGGUUUAAGCGUGUAGGCUGGUUUUCCAGGCAAAUCCGGAAAAUCAAGGCUGAGGCGUGAUGACGAGGCACUACGGUGCUGAAGCAACAAAUGCCCUGCUUCCAGGAAAAGCCUCUAAGCAUCAGGUAACAUCAAAUCGUACCCCAAACCGACACAGGUGGUCAGGUAGAGAAUACCAAGGCGCUUGAGAGAACUCGGGUGAAGGAACUAGGCAAAAUGGUGCCGUAACUUCGGGAGAAGGCACGCUGAUAUGUAGGUGAAGUCCCUCGCGGAUGGAGCUGAAAUCAGUCGAAGAUACCAGCUGGCUGCAACUGUUUAUUAAAAACACAGCACUGUGCAAACACGAAAGUGGACGUAUACGGUGUGACGCCUGCCCGGUGCCGGAAGGUUAAUUGAUGGGGUCAGCGCAAGCGAAGCUCUUGAUCGAAGCCCCGGUAAACGGCGGCCGUAACUAUAACGGUCCUAAGGUAGCGAAAUUCCUUGUCGGGUAAGUUCCGACCUGCACGAAUGGCGUAAUGAUGGCCAGGCUGUCUCCACCCGAGACUCAGUGAAAUUGAACUCGCUGUGAAGAUGCAGUGUACCCGCGGCAAGACGGAAAGACCCCGUGAACCUUUACUAUAGCUUGACACUGAACAUUGAGCCUUGAUGUGUAGGAUAGGUGGGAGGCUUUGAAGUGUGGACGCCAGUCUGCAUGGAGCCGACCUUGAAAUACCACCCUUUAAUGUUUGAUGUUCUAACGUGGACCCGUAAUCCGGGUUGCGGACAGUGUCUGGUGGGUAGUUUGACUGGGGCGGUCUCCUCCUAAAGAGUAACGGAGGAGCACGAAGGUUGGCUAAUCCUGGUCGGACAUCAGGAGGUUAGUGCAAUGGCAUAAGCCAGCUUGACUGCGAGCGUGACGGCGCGAGCAGGUGCGAAAGCAGGUCAUAGUGAUCCGGUGGUUCUGAAUGGAAGGGCCAUCGCUCAACGGAUAAAAGGUACUCCGGGGAUAACAGGCUGAUACCGCCCAAGAGUUCAUAUCGACGGCGGUGUUUGGCACCUCGAUGUCGGCUCAUCACAUCCUGGGGCUGAAGUAGGUCCCAAGGGUAUGGCUGUUCGCCAUUUAAAGUGGUACGCGAGCUGGGUUUAGAACGUCGUGAGACAGUUCGGUCCCUAUCUGCCGUGGGCGCUGGAGAACUGAGGGGGGCUGCUCCUAGUACGAGAGGACCGGAGUGGACGCAUCACUGGUGUUCGGGUUGUCAUGCCAAUGGCACUGCCCGGUAGCUAAAUGCGGAAGAGAUAAGUGCUGAAAGCAUCUAAGCACGAAACUUGCCCCGAGAUGAGUUCUCCCUGACUCCUUGAGAGUCCUGAAGGAACGUUGAAGACGACGACGUUGAUAGGCCGGGUGUGUAAGCGCAGCGAUGCGUUGAGCUAACCGGUACUAAUGAACCGUGAGGCUUAACCUU